rnacentral:rRNA from 1 species
AACGAACGCUGGCGGCAUGCCUAACACAUGCAAGUCGAACGAUGCCUUCGGGCAUAGUGGCGCACGGGUGCGUAACGCGUGGGAAUCUGCCUUUCGGUUCGGAAUAACUCAGGGAAACUUGAGCUAAUACCGGAUAACGUCGCAAGACCAAAGAUUUAUCACCGAAAGAUGAGCCCGCGUAGGAUUAGCUAGUUGGUGAGGUAAAGGCUCACCAAGGCGACGAUCCUUAGCUGGUCUGAGAGGAUGAUCAGCCACACUGGGACUGAGACACGGCCCAGACUCCUACGGGAGGCAGCAGUGGGGAAUAUUGGACAAUGGGCGAAAGCCUGAUCCAGCAAUGCCGCGUGAGUGAUGAAGGCCUUAGGGUUGUAAAGCUCUUUUACCCGGGAAGAUAAUGACGGUACCGGGAGAAUAAGCCACGGCUAACUCCGUG